UUGACCUCAAAUCGGGUGAGACUACCCGCUGAACUUAAGCAUAUCAAUAAGCGGAGGAAAAGAAACUAACAAGGAUUCCCCUAGUAACUGCGAGUGAAGCGGGAAAAGCUCAAAUUUAAAAUCUGGUGGUCUUUGGCCAUCCGAGUUGUAAUUUAGAGAAGCGUCUUCCGCGCUGGACCGUGCACAAGUCUCCUGGAACGGAGCGUCAUAGAGGGUGAGAAUCCCGUCUUUGGCAUGGACAUACCAGGGCUUUUGUGAUGCGCUCUCGAAGAGUCGAGUUGUUUGGGAAUGCAGCUCAAAAUGGGUGGUGAACUCCAUCUAAAGCUAAAUAUUGGCGAGAGACCGAUAGCGAACAAGUACCGUGAGGGAAAGAUGAAAAGCACUUUGGAAAGAGAGUGAAACAGUACGUGAAAUUGUUGAAAGGGAAACGCUUGAAGUCAGUCGCGUCGACCGAGACUCAGCCUCGCCUUGGCUUGGUGUACUUCUCGGCUGACGGGUCAGCAUCAAUUUUGCCUCUUGGAUAAUGGCGAGGGAAAUGUGACACCUUUACGGUGUGUUAUAGUCUCUCGUCGCAUGCAAGGGUCGGGAUUGAGG
rnacentral:rRNA from 2 species